rnacentral:rRNA from 1 species
GUGGGGAAUCUUGCGCAAUGGGCGAAAGCCUGACGCAGCCAUGCCGCGUGAAUGAUGAAGGUCUUAGGAUUAUAAAAUUCUUUCACCGGGGACGAUAAUGACGGUACCCGGAGAAGAAGCUCCGGCUAACUUCGUGCCAGCAGCCGCGGUAAUACGAAGAGGGCUAGCGUUGCUCGGAAUUACUGGGCGUAAAGGGCGCGUAGGGGGACAGCUUAGUCAGAGGUGAAAGCCCAGGGCUCAACCUUGGAAUUGCCUUUGAUACUGGCUGUCUUGAGUACGGGAGAGGUGAGUGGAACUCCGAGUGUAGAGGUGAAAUUCGUAGAUAUUCGGAAGAACACCAGUGGCGAAGGCGACUCACUGGCCCGUUACUGACGCUGAGGCGCGAAAGCGUGGGGAGCAAACAGGAUUAGAAACCCUGGUAGUCC